AAACCCAUUUGCGCGAGAGUAGUACUAGGAUGGNGUAUGAAACCCAUUUGCGCGAGAGUAGUACUAGGAUGGGUGACCUCCUGGGAAGUCCUCGUGAAAGGGUUUC
rnacentral:rRNA from 1 species